AGGACGAACGCUGGCGGCGUGCUUAACACAUGCAAGUCGAGCGGAAAGGCCCUUCGGGGUACUCGAGCGGCGAACGGGUGAGUAACACGUGAGUAAUCUGCCCCUAGCUCUGGGAUAGCUCCGGGAAACCGGGAUUAAUACCGGAUACGACCACCUUAGACAUCUUUUGUGGUGGAAAGAAUUUCGGCUAGGGAUGAGCUCGCGGCCUAUCAGCUUGUUGGUGGGGUAACGCCUACCAAGGCGACGACGGGUAGCCGGCCUGAGAGGGCGACCGGCCACACUGGGACUGAGACACGGCCCAGACUCCUACGGGAGGCAGCAGUGGGGAAUAUUGCGCAAUGGGCGAAAGCCUGACGCAGCGACGCCGCGUGGGGGAUGAAGGCCUUCGGGUUGUAAACCCCUUUCAGCAGGGACGAAGCGAAAGUGACGGUACCUGCAGAAGAAGCGCCGGCUAACUACGCGCCAGCAGCCGC
rnacentral:rRNA from 1 species